GGAAGGGCCAUAGCUUAGUAGUAGAGCCUCUGCCUUGCAUGUAGAAGGUUCCGGGUUCAAUCCCUAGCGUCUCCU